rnacentral:rRNA from 1 species
CCUACGGGAGGCUGCAGUGGGGAAUAUUGGGCAAUGGGCGCAAGCCUGACCCAGCAACGCCGCGUGAAGGAAGAAGGCCCUCGGGUUGUAAACUUCUUUUUUCAGGGACGAAGCAAGUGACGGUACCUGACGAAUAAGCCACCGCUAACUACGUGCCAGGAGCCGCUGUAAUACGUAGGUGGCAAGCGUUAUCCGGAUUUACUGGGUGUAAAGGGCGUGUGGGCGGGACUGCAAGUCAGAUGUGAAAACCACGGGCUCAACCUGUGGCCUGCAUUUGACACUGUAGUUCUUGAGUACUGGAGAGGCAGACGGAAUUCCUAGUGUAGCGGUGAAAUGCGUAGAUAUUAGGAGGAACACCAGUGGCGAAGGCGGUCUGCUGGACAGCAACUGACGCUGAGGCGCGAAAGCGUGGGGAGCAAACAGGAUUAGAUACCCCAGUAGUC